UGCAGAGUACAAACAGGUAGAGUCUGCUGCGGGUUUCGUACGGACGCCCAGCUGGUUGACAAGCGGACCUCUACCUGGGUGAUCGGCUCUCCACCUUCUCGGCAUAGACGCCAGCAGAAGAUCCCUGUGCCUUUUACGCAGACCCUGGAAACAUGUCCAUUUACACGUUUUGACCAAGAUACAUGCAAAUUUUGUGACAAGCAUGUGACUACGACUGCCACUUCCAAUGAAGAUAAAAAGCUGAGAGUCGGACGUCUGGCAUUGAGUGGAAAGUGCAGAGAUGGGUGGGUUUAUUUUGACCAUGGAGGAGUGGGGGGGGCCUUUGUUCCAGCUGCCACUGCAGAUUUAGGCAUCUACGAAGGGCCUGUCAGAAACAGGCUUAUCUCUUUGGGGCCUCUCCGUGGUACAAAGAGCCAUUUAGAUCGAACUGGCCCGGAGUAAAAUCUUCAUUAUAUGGCGCUUAAAGGAGCAACAGAUCGCUGGCUCUUUAAGAUGAAUUGGAGGCAAGUGGUUGGCCAAACACGAGGAGGUGGUGGCCAAUAUGCUUGAGUUUAUGUCUGGACAUCGCCACGAUCUUUGGUGAUGAUACCGUUUUGUCCCUGUGCCUUUUACACGCAACUCUUGAUGAUAUCUGGAUGUGCUGUGCCUUCUCAAGACAUUCAAAUGGACUGUUAGGGGGGAAAAGUCCAGGAAAAAAAUAUCCACUUAAAAAUAUUUAAAAAGUUGUUUCAUUUGAGAUUUAAAAAAAAUAAUAAUAAAAAGUUUGUUUUAUAUAUUUUUUUAUUUAUCUUUUUUCCAUAAUUUAAUGAGAAAUUUAGAAAGUCGUUACUAUAGCGCAAAGUCUAAAUUAAUGAGAAAAGCCAUAACUAUUCCGUAUAAAAAGUUAUAGGAGUACAGUAGAAUUUGUAGAAAAAGAGAUUUUAAAAAAAAUUUGGAGGGAGACAAAAAAAAAAUCAUAAUACUAUAGGGAUAGAAUUCAUUUUCAAGGAAAAACAUCAUGCAGGGGUUUGAAUAAAGUUGUUUUUUCCUCGUGUUAAAAAGUUGUAAUAUUUGAAGAAUAAAGUCAUCGGUGAUGAUCCACUAUUUUGAUCGUGUCUCUUUUCAUGGAACCGUUGUUGAUAUUUGUCAGUUCACUGCUGAGGACCAAUC